rnacentral:lncRNA from 1 species
CCUUUCUUUGUGCCAAGGAAAUGCAUUUGUGAGUUGGGGGAAAAUGGUGUUAUAAGGGGACAUGUUGCAAUACAGCCCAGUUUAACCCGGAGUUAUUUGAGAUUUAACUGAAACUCCUUCAUUUUCCAAUGUUGGCUCCUCUAUCCACUUUCUGAUAAAAGCAUACGCUUUUAAAGCUUUAGUCAGAAACUCAGAUAAAAUAGAGAUUUAUGUGUGGUGUUAUUAAAAUUUUGUAUUUUUAAAAUAGUAGUUUGUCAUUGGCAAAUUGACAGAACUGGAGAUGACAUUUUAUUUAUUUAUUUAGCAAAUUUUAUUCUGAGCACUGUAGUAAGAAGGCGAGGACUGUAGCUCGUUUCAUUUUUCAGUGGUGUGAUCUUGGGCAAGUCUGUUAUCAUCUCAGAUUUCUCAUCUGUAAAACACAGGUAGUCAGUCAGAAGUACCUUGUGAGAAUGAAAUGCCACUACAUGUGAAAUGCUUAGGACAGAACCUGGCAUAUGGGAAACAUUCACUCAAUAUGUGGAAUCUAAUAUUAAUAGCUGCAAAGAAGCAGUGACUUAUUUAAACAUAACAAUAAAUGAAAAUUUAGGUAAAACUGUAUCAGCCUAGUGACAAUUUCACUGUACUUCCUGUUAGAGCCGCCUGUGAUAAACUGCCCCAGAAUGUUAAUUUCAAAGAGUACAUUAUACCCCACCAAAGAAAACUCUUAAGGCCCAUCUUUGAUUGAUCUUAAGACCAGACCAAGAAGUUGGAGACUUUCAAGGCUUUGAGGAAUGGUCCUGAAAACAAUAAUGAAAUAUUUUAUUCACCUCUCUUACUGCCAGCAACAUACCAUCUCCUUCAAUCAUCAGAUUACUUUUCCGGGAAGGGAAUCCCAGAGUGAUUGGCAUUUGUUAGGUUAAUAACUUGAGGAGAUGUCCAGUGUAGUGUUCCUAGAUUUAGCAAACAAACAACAAACAAACAAACAAGAAAUGCAGGACUGUCAGUUGAAUUUGAAUUUCACAUAAACAACAAAUAACUUUUGGUAUGUCUUAUGCAAUAUUUGGAACAUACUCGACAAAAUUAUUUGUUGUUUACCUGAAAUUCAAAUUUAACUGGGCUUCCUGCCAUAUCUGACAAUCCUAAUAAAUGGAAUUAGUAAAGAAUAUUCCUCACAUUCCAAAAAGACAAGUCAACACAGGCAGAUUAAAGGUGAAUUUGAUGUGGGUUAUUUUAAAAUUUUAUGUGGUAAAGAAAAAGUGGAGUUGUGUUUAUAAGUUGAUUUGUUAUUGAGCUACUUCUUACCUCUUAGUUUCUGCCCGUAUCUCCACUGACAGCAAUACUUACUUACUAUUUAGUAUAAGUAAAAGUGGUUGCUUUUUGCUUUAUUCAAUAUAUUGAAUAUAAAUACAAUAAUGUAUUCAGUGGGGUUUUAUUUAAAUAGUGUUUAUUGAGGGCCAACUGCAUGUCAGGUACCAUUUCACAAAUGAAUAAGACAAAAGUUCAUGUCUGGAGGAUAAGGAAAUUUUAAAAAACCCAAAGUGCUACCCUAUCUAGGUAAAUACAGAAAGGUGGGUGUUCAGUGAAGUGAGUUAAUUGUCCUAGGAAAGGUGUGGAAACCAAGGAUGGGAUCCAUUGCAUGGGAUCCAAUAAAAAAAACUGCUCCAACCAGAAUGAGCAGAAGAGUAAAGACCCAGGAUGGCAGUUGUGCGUAAGUCUGGGAAGCAGCUCAUCGUUGAGUGGAGUAGGAAAGCUUCGGGGAGGUAAAUGGAAAUCCUUGAGAUUAUUACAUGGGGAUGGAAUGCAAAGAAAAAAAUUGGGACUAUAUUUUUCCACUUUAAAGUAUACAUUUAAAAUUAAAUCCAGGAACUGCAAGAGGAAAACAUCCAGAAAAGGCCUGAUGCAGCUUAUGAUGGAUUGAUCUGAACCUACAGGAGUAUCUCAAACAGGAGACCCCAUUUCAACCUGAAAUCUAAGAAUAUUCUCCAAAUGGCCCAGAGAAGGAAGUAUAAUCAGAAGACUGUGCUCAGCUACAGGAAACAGGUUUUAUGCAGUCUAAUCAUAGCAGCACUGCUUGUUGGUUUAUAACCUUUAGAAUCACAUUAUAAACAAGCCAAAGAAGGAUUAAUGUGACUAUAGGCAAAAUGUUAGUCAAAAAUGAUUAUUUUUUUUUUAAAUGUGCAAGUAAAAGUAGAUAGCAGGAUGUAGGAGUAGGGAGAAAAGGUUGAGUUACUAAGGUGCUCGGUUUAGAAAGUAGAGAAUCAGAAGAUACUGCAGCAACUUUGCAGAGGAGAGAACACUGGGGGCUGGGCAUAGAGAGGGAUCUCUGUCAGGAGUAGAGGGGCCAGAAUGUAUGUGAGCUAAAUCUUUGAUUUGCCUAGAAGAAAUUGGGUAGGAAGGGCCUACCAUGGUGCACCAAGAAAUAAUGACAUAUCAGGAUCUUUUGAAAAUAGGAAAAUACCCACCAGAAAUCCAAAACAUAAAUUAUUAAGAGUUUGGGGAAUGGGACUGGAGUUGGGGUUAGGGUUACAGUGGGCUAAAGUGGGGGACUCAUUUUUUUUUUAGUACUUUAGUACUUUUGAACAAUUUGAACUAUAUGCAUGAUGACAUUGAAUAAAUAUUUAAAACUUUUGAAGACUAGAAAUUUGUGAAAAGGAAGACUUAAGAAAAUGGCUUUCAAGAAUCAGUAAGACUAAAAAGAGCAUGCUACAGGGACACUGCUACAUGGAUGUUCAUAGCAGCACAAUUCACAAUAGCAAGACUGUGGAACCAACCUAGAUACCCUUCAAUAGACGAAUGGAUAAAAAAAAAAUGUGGCAUUUAUACACAAUGGAGUAUUACUCUGCAUUAAAAAAUGAUAAAAUCAUAGAAUUUGCAGGGAAAUGGAUGGCAUUAGAGCAGAUUAUGCUAAGUGAAGCUAGCCAAUCCCUAAAAAGCAAAUGCCAAAUGUCUUCUUUGAUAUAAGGAGAGUAACUAAGAACAGA